UGGAUGAUGUGGUUAAUUCGAUGCAACGCGAAAACCUUACCACCUUUGACAUGUACGGAAUCCUUUAGAGAUAGAGGAGUGCUCGAAAGAGAGCCGUAACACAGGUGCUGCAUGGCUGUCGUCAGCUCGUGUCGUGAGAUGUUGGGUUAAGUCCCGCAACGAGCGCAACCCUUGUCAUUAGUUGCUACGAAAGGGCACUCUAAUGAGACUGCCGGUAAUAAACCGGAGGAAGGUGGGGAUGACGUCAAAUCAUCAUGCCCCUUAUGACCUGGGCUACACACGUGCUACAAUGGUUGGUACAACGAGUUGCGAGUCGGUGACGGCGAGCUAAUCUCUUAAAGCCAAUCUCAGUUCGGAUUGUAGGCUGCAACUCGCCUACAUGAAGUCGGAAUCGCUAGUAAUCGCGGAUCAGCACGCCGCGGUGAAUACGUUCCCGGGCCUU
rnacentral:rRNA from 1 species